rnacentral:rRNA from 1 species
UACGGGGGGGGUAAGCGUUGUUCGGAAUUAUUGGGCGUAAAGAGCUCGUAGGCGGUUCGUCGCGUCGGCUGUGAAAACCCGGAGCUCAACUCCGGGCCUGCAGUCGAUACGGGCGGACUUGAGUGUUGCAGGGGAGACUGGAAUUCCUGGUGUAGCGGUGAAAUGCGCAGAUAUCAGGAGGAACACCGGUGGCGAAGGCGGGUCUCUGGGCAACUACUGACGCUGAGGAGCGAAAGCGUGGGGAGCGAACAGG